GAUGAAGAACGUAGCGAAAUGCGAUAAGUAAUGUGAAUUGCAGAAUUCCGUGAAUCAUCGAAUCUUUGAACGCACAUUGCGCCCCCUGGCAUUCCGGGGGGCAUGCCUGUCCGAGCGUCAUUUCUGCCCUCCAGCCCGGCUGGGUGUUGGGCGCUGUCCCCCCGGGGACACGCCCCAAAGGCAGUGGCGGCGCCGCGUCGGGUCCUCGAGCGUAUGGGGCUUUGUCACCCGCUCGGGACGGACUCGUCGGCGCUGGUCUUCCUCCAGGCGACCCUUCGGGGCUCGUCUUCCUUCGGUUGACCUCGGAUCAGGUAGGGUUACCCGCUGAACUUAAGCAUAUCAAGCGGAGGA
rnacentral:misc_RNA from 1 species